GGGAGAGAGACGGAGGAGAGGUGAGGCACGGGGGAGAGGAGAGAGACGGAGGAGAGGAGAGAGACGGAGGAGAGGAGAGAGACGGGGGGAGAGGUGAGAGACGGAGGAGAGGUGAGAGACGGAGGAGAGGUGAGAGACGGGGGAGUGGUGAGAGACGGGGGAGAGGAGAGAGACGGAGGAGAGGAGAGAGACGGAGGAGAGGAGAGAGACGGAGGAGAAGAGAGAGACGGAGGAGAAAGAGAGGAGAGGAGAGAGACGGAGGAGAGGAGAGAGACGGGGAGAGGAGAGAGAGGAUAGGAGAGAGACGGAGGAGAGGAGAGAGACGGAGGAGAGGAGAGAGACGGAGGAGAGGAGAGAGACGGGGGGAGAGGAGAGAGACAGAGGAGAGUAGAGAGAGAGGAGAGGAGAGAGACGGAGGAGAGGAGAGAGACGGGGGGAGAGGAGAGAGACGGAGGAGAGGUGAGAGACGGA
ensembl:lncRNA